rnacentral:rRNA from 1 species
ACUCAAAUGAAUUGACGGGGGCCCGCACAAGCGGUGGAGCAUGUGGUUUAAUUCGAUGCAACGCGAAGAACCUUACCUGGAUUUGACAUCCCUAGAUCGCCGUAGAGAUACGGUUUCCCCUUCGGGGGCUAGGAGACAGGUGCUGCAUGGCUGUCGUCAGCUCGUAUCGUGAGAUGUCGGGUUAAGUCCCUUAACGAGCGCAACCCUUAUUCUUAGUUGCCACCAUUCAGUUGGGCACUCUAAGGAGACUGCCGGUGUUAAACCGGAGGAAGGCGGGGAUGACGUCAAGUCCUCAUGGCCUUUAUAUCCAGGGCUACACACGUGCUACAAUGGCCGGUACAAAGGGUUGCCAACCCGCGAGGGGGAGCUAAUCUCAGAAAGCCGGUCUCAGUUCGAAUUGAAGUCUGCAACUCGACUUCAUGAAGCUGGAAUCGCUAGUAAUCGCGGAUCAGAACGCCGCGGUGAAUACGUUCCCGGGCCUUGCACACACCGCCCGU